GAAAAGUUCAAGUACCAGGCUCAAUGGUCCGUGUGGUCACUUUGUUGAAUCGAAUUAACAUAUUUGGUGAAGUCAAUAAAUGCAGAUUUAAACAUGACACAAAAUGGAGGUGUACUAUAAUCACUGGGAUUAAAAUUGGUGAUUGACAUAUAAAUUUACAUAAAUUAACAAGUAAAAAUACCGAUGUUCAAGUGAUGAUAUGGAAGAUGAUGGCCGCCGCUGAAAGUUGUACGCUUAUUACAUUCGUGUUCGUAUAGCUUUGACUUUCUUUCAAUUUAGGGUUGCAGCUGUCUUCUCCCCAUUUUAAAAUACCAAAGGAUAAUGGCGGUGGUUACUUUCACUGUGCCUGGAGCGCAUACGAUCGGCAAUGAAGUUCGAAUCAUCCUACAAAACAUGCGAAAUCAUCGUUCAUCAUAAUUUUAGAGCUUCGUCGCUAUACUCUCGAAGAAAGAAGAGGGACACAUUCUUACACCACACUUCUUUUAUCGGUUUUAAAUCAUUUCAAAAUACUGCAUAAGAUUUCUACUUUGUAACUUGGUCAAUUAAAACUGACAUAACGAUUAUGAAACGGACGAUAACCAAUAAGUAGAAAGUACUUAAUGUCGGUUCUACUGUCAACAAAAGUAGAGAGGUCAUCUUUGAGACCAACAAACAGAAUUCAGGGGAUAAUACUACGGAAUAGAUUUCACUUUUUUUAUUGCUAUUCCGUAAAAAGGAAACUCAUCUUAGAGUCCCUUUUACUGCCUCUUAUACAUUUAUGGAUAGUUAAUCAUGUAUAUUGGCGGAUGUGGUAGAAUCUCUAGGGAAAAUGGCGGUGUAGGAGAAAGGGAGAAAUAUAAUAAUUUAAAGCGUUAGAAAUUUGGCAAUUUCAGAAUAUGAAUUGGGAAUUUAGGAUUUGUAAUGUCAUGAUGAUAUAAGGGUAUUUGACCCACACUAAACAAAAAUUUUAGUUACAUUAAUGAAGUAUAUUUUUGAACCAAUAAAAUAUGCUAAACAUUUAUGGCCUCACGUGAGUCACUGUGUAUGCUUUUAAUGAAUUCAAGCUGGUUUUCGAGGCGAUUCCUACAUAAUUGUAAAAGAAACCACGGCGACCAUGACACCGAAUGUUUUGCUCAUCGAUUUCUCGAAGAUUUAUUUUCUAAAUCUUAGGAAGAGGUUGUGAAAGAGUUAGUCGUGGAGAAAGAACGAGUAGGCCAAACUGGAAAAUACCAGAGACGCUCGUAAAGUAUCUAAUUAUUUUCUUUAGAUUAGCUCUCCGAGAGAAAGACAUUAAUUACUUCACUAUUAUCAACACGCGAUUUCCAUUUGCUUUACGUAAAUUCCGACUGUUAUCACUCGAUUAAUUCGCCAAUUAGAAUACACAAAUGUAAUGAGAAAUUAAUUAGAGAAGUUAUGCAAGUUCCUAAAUUUCCAAACUUCAUGUGUAACGUAGUAUAUUAGUAAAAUUAGGGUAUAAAAUUCAAUCCGGGUAAAAAUCCUAGUUAAUGUUCUUUCCGUGGUUUUAUCCAUUAUUUUUGUUGUUUUCGAACCGCCUAAAAUUGUAGUUUCACCGUAAAGCAAGGACCCAGCCGGGUUUCCGUGGCACGCAAGCAAAUUUCGCGAGCUCUGAGGGUCAUUAAUAUUUUAUACCGUGUACGACCGAUAAUUUCGUUCUCAUUCCUCGUUCGUGGCAACUCUCACAUUGCAUCUAAUCUUCUCCCGAUGGUUGCGUAAUCUGUGCCAUGUUCUGUGCUCCAGGGCGAUUCAGUUGGGCAAUGAAAUUCUGUCGACGUCACGUGGACCUCCGAAAUUUGACCGCAGGGCUAAAAGACCGCACGUGUUCAACGAGAAAUUUGUAACGUCUACCUGAACCUCCACACGGAAUGAAUUAGAAAUGCAAAACCGAUUGAUUAAUAAUAAGAUAAAGAAGAGAGUCUAUUGAGAUCCCUUUUGAUACAGUGAAGAAUCUAGUUGUCUUCUACAGAUAAGAUUGAUAAAGCUGAUUGGAUUGGAUUGAUGGACAAUUUACAACUUCCACAUUGCAUAGAAUGCUCAGUGAAUCAGUGAUAUCAGUGAAAGCAAACAACUACACAAUCAUACAAAACUUGCUUUUACUCAUGAUUAAAUACCAGCAUUCGUAGGAUCACGUUACUUCCUUCGUUGAACCAACUUCUUAUUGCAUCUUGUUCCUCUUCUUUUAUUUCGAUAUUCUUCUUUCACUUCGGUUGCUUCCUCGAAAGUGUACAGAUUACAUAACUCAUUAAUGUUGAUAGAUCAACAUAUUACGAAUCUGUAAUUUAUUCGUCAUGUUACUUUAAACAAAUAAUCAAUACCUGUCUUUUUACGUACUCAUGUGCAUAAAUGCGAUACGUAUCGAUAUGUUCACACUUCAUAUUUGUUAUGCUGACUGUCAAGAUUAUUAAUAUGCUGACUAGUACGUCGAAGCGAUUGAAACUUUCAUUAGUUAGUAUAUAUUUCUACAAUUUCUAACGAUACAUAUUCAUAUAUGUGUUGAUGCAAAUAGAUUUUAAAUGAACAUUAAUAUUAUUAUAGUUAAUAAAUUUUAUAUUUUGAAACGAUUAAAUUUGUAAUAAGAUAACGUGAUUUAUUAACAUGCAAGAAUUUAAGAAAAAGAGGAAGAAGAAGUAAAAGAAGAUGACUUCAAUGAAACGAAGAAAUUACCUUAGAAGAGCUAUGGACCUCACACGAUCUUCAAGUUCUCCUAUUGAGUAGUGUCGACAGCUCGAAACGUGGGAAAAUAUAGUGAGAAGUGAUCGCAGAACAAUGUUACGAAAAAAGCACACGUUUCAUGUCAGCUGCUGCUAGGCUUCUUUCUAGUCUCCACCCUUGGAGAUCCUAUCAGGACAAAGAAAGA
rnacentral:misc_RNA from 1 species